rnacentral:lncRNA from 1 species
AAAAAAUGUUUAUAACUUUCAAAAUCUCAGAUCCGACCAUGUUUCUGUAAGAAAAGAUGAUUAAUAUGAGAGUAAAAGACAAUGAGGAACAGAGUAAACAGAGAGAUAAGUGAUCAAGAGUAAAUUAAGUUGUGAAUAAGAGAGUAUGAGUAUCAAGAGAUUAUAGAGAUUGACAAUAACCAAGAGAGAAGAGAAUGGUGAAGAAGAAAGGGGAACUCCCCUCUUUCAGCUUAGAUUAUAAUUGAUUACAAUGAGAGUUCUUUAUACCCAACACACACUAGACAAAUGAGAGGAAGAAGACAAAGAGAGAUAGAUCUGAAUUCAAAAUGAAUGGUUGGGAUGAGAGGAUCUGAAUUAAUUUGAAUUGAAUGGCUGAGAUGCAGGAGAGCUUCCAAUGUGAUAGUGACAGCUCCUAACAGUCAUCUUUCUUCUCUCCAACAUGUUAUUUUAAUCCUCACUUGUCCAGCCUCUCUCUCCAAAGGUCAGAACCUAA